GGAACUGUGCCUGAAAAAAGGGCCACUUUGAUAGAGCGAAUUAUGAGGGUUAAAGUCCCUCCAGUUCCU
rnacentral:tRNA from 1 species